ensembl:lncRNA
GGUGCUGUACAGAUUCACUGACACGAAUCAGUGCUUCAAUUCAAAACAGCAUGUAUCAGGAAAACGCUGGAAGAGAAUGAAAAUGGAAUCAAUAAAGGCAUCUCUGUAUCUGUAAAAGUCCAACAGUGCACACGCACAGCUCAUUUUGUUAUCGGUGGAUUACUAGGAAACUUUAUCACAUACAUUUCUUUUGGUACUGUGGGUUCCUCAAUCACGCUCUCUUACUCACACUUCAGAUACAUCUGUGCCUGUCAAUCACAUUGAAGGCUGGACCGCCUGCCAGUUCCAGUGAAGGAGGUGUGGUCUCUGUAGUGUCAGUCCCAGUAAAAAUGGUGUGGCUUCUCUAAUGUCAGUCCCAGUGAAAGAGGUGUGGUCUCUGUAGUGUCAGUCCCAGUGAAAGAGGUGUGGUCUCUGUAGUGUCAGUCCCAGUGAAGGAGGGGUGGUCUCUGUAGUGUCAGUCCCAGUGAAGAAGGUGUGGCCUUUGUGUCUGUCAGUCCCAGUGAAGGAGGUGUGGUCUCUCCAAUGUCGGUCCCAGUGAAGAGUGUGUGGUCUCUGUAGUGUCAGUCCCAGUGAAAGAGGUGUGGUCUCUGUAGUGUCAGUCCCAGUGAAGGAGGUGUGGUCUCUGUAGUGUCCGUCCCAGUGAAGGAGGGGUGGUCUCUGUAGUGUCAGUCCAAGUGAAGAAGGUGUGGCCUUUGUGUCUGUCAGUCCCAGUGAAGGAGGUGUGGUCUCUCUAAUGUCAGUCCCUUUGAAGGAGGUGUGGUCUCUGUAUUGUCAAUCCCAGUGAAGGAGGUGUGGUCUCUGAAGCAUCUGUCCUAGUGAAGGAGGCGUGGCCUCUGUAGUGUCAGUCCUAGUAAAAAAGGUGUGGCCUCUCUACUGUCAGUACUAAUUUAUAAGGCGUGGCCUCCAUGUCUGUCAGCUCCAGUAAAGGAGGCAUUGAUCCCAUAAAACGACACAUAAGUUCAUACUUAUUUCGAGUAAUUCUG